GGACUACCGGGGUUUCUAAUCCCGUUCGCUCCCCUAGCUUUCGCGCCUCAGCGUCAGAAAAGGUCCAGCACGUCGCUUUCGCCACCGGCGUUCCUUCCGAUAUCAACGCAUUUCACCGCUCCACCGGAAGUUCCACAUGCCCCUACCUCCCUCGAGACGGCCAGUAUCAAAAGCUAUUUUCCGGUUAAGCCGAAAGAUUUCACCCCUGACUUGGCCGCCCGCCUACGCGCCCUUUAAGCCCAGUGAUUCCGAACAACGUUCGCACGGUUUGUCUUACCGCGGCUGCUGGCAC
rnacentral:rRNA from 3 species